rnacentral:rRNA from 1 species
CCUACGGGAGGCAGCAGUGGGGAAUAUUGGACAAUGGGCGAAAGCCUGAUCCAGCAAUACCGCGUGUGUGAAGAAGGCCUUCGGGUUGUAAAGCACUUUAAGCAGGGAAGAAAAAAUUCAAGCUAACAUCUUGAGUCUUGACGGUACCUGAAGAAUAAGCACCGGCUAACUCUGUGCCAGCAGCCGCGGUAAUACAGAGGGUGCAAGCGUUAAUCGGAUUUACUGGGCGUAAAGCGUGUGUAGGUGGUUGGGAAAGUCAAUUGUGAAAGCCCCGGGCUCAACUCGGGAACUGCUUUUGAUACUGUCUGACUAGAAUUCGGUAGAGGGAGGCGGAACUCCAGGUGUAGCGGUGAAAUGCGUAGAUAUCUGGAAGAACACCAAUGGCGAAGGCAACCUCCUGGGCCUGAAUUGACACUGAGACACGAAAGCGUGGGGAUCGAAACAGGAUUAGAUACCCUGGUAGUCCACGCCGUAAACGAUGACAACUUGACGUCGGUUUGCUCUGCGAAUCGGUGUCGUAGCUAACGCGAUAAGUUGUCCGCCUGGGGAUCGGCGCAAGGUUGAAACUCAAAGGAUUGACGG